AUUCCAGCUCCAAUAGCGUAUAUUAAAGUUGUUGCGGUUAAAAAGCUCGUAGUUGGAUUUCUGCCGAGGACGACCGGUCCGCCCUCUGGGUGAGUAUCUGGCUCGGCCUGGGCAUCUUCUUGGAGAACGUAGCUGCACUUGACUGUGUGGUGCGGUAUCCAGGACUUUUACUUUGAGGAAAUCAGAGUGUUUCAAGCAGGCAUACGCCUUGAAUACAUUAGCAUGGAAUAAUAAGAUAGGACUUUGGUGGUCUAUUUUGUUGGUUUGCACACCAAGGUAAUGAUUAAUAGGGACAGUUGGGGGUAUCCGUAUUUCGUAGUCAGAGGUGAAAUUCUUGGAUUUGUUAAAGACGGACUACUGCGAAAGCAUCUGCCAUGGAUGUUUUCAUCG
rnacentral:rRNA from 1 species